GUUUUUUUGAUAAUAAUUUAAGAUUUAAUCUGCUCAAUGAUUAUUUAAAUUGCCGCAGUAUUUUAACUGUGCAAAGGUAGCAUAAUAAUUAGUUUCUUUAUUAGGAGCUGGAAUGAAUGAUUGGACGAGAAAAUUUCUGUCUCUUUAUUAGUUUUAUUUAAUUUUACUUUUAAGUUAAAAGGCUUAACUUUGUUUAAAAGACGAGAAGACCCUAUAGAGUUUAAUUUAUUAAAAUUUAUUUUUUAUUGGUAUUUUUUAAUUUAUUUUUUAAUAAAUUUAGUUGGGGUGACUAAAAGAUUAAUAAAACUCUUUUAAUAUUAAUCAAUUAUAUUUGAAUAUUAAAUCUAUGUUUUUAAAUUUAAAAUAAAUUACCUUAGGGAUAACAGCGUAAUUUUUUUUUAAAGUUCAUAUUAAAAGAAAAGUUUGCGACCUCGAUGUUGGAUUAAAAUUUAUUUUUGGUGUAGAAGCUUAGAAAUUAAGUCUGUUCGACUUUUAAAAUUUU
rnacentral:rRNA from 1 species